rnacentral:rRNA from 1 species
UACAGAGGUCCCGAGCGUUGUUCGGAUUCAUUGGGCGUAAAGGGUGCGUAGGCGGCCAACUAAGUCAGACGUGAAAUCCCUCGGCUUAACCGGGGAACUGCGUCUGAUACUGGAUGGCUAGAGAUUGGGAGAGGGAUGCGGAAUUCCAGGUGUAGCGGUGAAAUGCGUAGAUAUCUGGAGGAACACCGGUGGCGAAGGCGGCAUCCUGGACCAACACUGACGCUGAGGAGCGAAAGCCAGGGGAGCAAACGGG